rnacentral:rRNA from 1 species
UGGGGGAUAUUGCACAAUGGGCGAAAGCCUGAUGCAGCGACGCCGCGUGGGGGAUGAAGGCCUUCGGGUUGUAAACUUCUUUUGCUCUGAACAAGGCGCACCAUGGGGUGUGUUGAGUGUAGGGGUUGAUUAGCGCCGGCUAACUACGUGCCAGCAGCCGCGGUAAUACGUAGGGCGCGAGUGUUGUCCGGAAUUAUUGGGCGUAAAGGGCUUGUAGGUGGCUGGUUGCGUCUGUCGUGAAAGCUCAUGGCUUAACUGUGGGUUUGCGGUGGGUACGGGCUGGCUUGAGUGCAGUAGGGGAGGCUGGAAUUCCUGGUGUAGCGGUGGAAUGCGCAGAUAUCAGGAGGAAUACCGGUGGCGAAGGCGGGUCUCUGGGCUGUUACUGACACUGAGGAGCGAAAGCAUGGGGAGCGAACAGG